rnacentral:rRNA from 1 species
UACGUAGGGGGCAAGCGUUGUCCGGAUUUAUUGGGCGUAAAGAGCGUGUAGGCGGCCUGGAAGGUCAGCUGUGAAAACUCGAGGCUCAACCUCGAGACGUCGGUUGAAACCACCUGGCUAGAGUCCGGAAGAGGAGAGUGGAAUUCCCGGUGUAGCGGUGAAAUGCGCAGAUAUCAGGAGGAACACCGGUGGCGAAGGCGGGUCUCUGGGCCGAUACUGACGCUGAGGAGCGAGAGCGUGGGGAGCGAACAGG